GCAGAGGUUAGGAUCGCGGCGGGCCUUGUCGGGGCGGUGGGGAUGGGUGGAGACGGGUCGCCCUCGGUCCUGGUGACUUGGAGGCGUCUCCAGGGGAGACAGAGGUGGGAAGCAGGUUCUGCGUGCAAACACUCCACGGUCAGAGGCAAAAGCAAGUCCUUGGAGGUGGACACGCAGCACCUUUUCUCCAAGCAGAUAGGCGUAGGCCCUAGAGGUUACGACCCCGUAAGUGGAGCCCAUGAGCCCCAGGCUCGAGCUGCCUCGGCGUAGGGUAUUCUUCGGAUGACGGAAAGGGCAAGACAACCAAGCUGGAAGUGCACGCGCAGCACUGAGGAGACUGAGGCAGAAAGAUCGCUGCAGUUUGGAGGCCAGCCCGAGCUGCACUCUCUAGAGGGUCACUCAUCUUUACCAGCCAACCAUCUUCAUGACAAGAUCUGUGGACAAGCCCUGGAUUUUCUUGGAGCGCUUCAUUGGCAUCUGUCACCUCUCCUGACAGGAGAGUGGACUUCAUUGGCAGCCUUCCCCCAUUCCAAAGCACCAAACUCAACUCUAUUUUUUUGUCCCACCUUGAGGCAGCCAACACAGUAAACAACAUCUCCCGAAUUUUCGUACGCAGCAUUGCUGACUCCCACUGGUCCAGGACCACUCACUCUCCUUUGAUGUCUGUUCAUGUUUCUGUGAAUUUAAGAACUGACAACAUGGCAGAUGUUGUCCUUCCUCUUUCACUUCUGAGCAAGCACAAGGCCCUGGGUUCGGUCCUCAGCUCUGAAAAAAAAAAAAAAAAGAAUAA